ACAGUAAACUCACAAUGUAAACUAUGCUGGGCCAAGUUUAACAAAUCCUCAAUCUAAUUAAAGGCAAAUUCAUGCUUCGGGCUUCUGAUAAACCAGCACCAAUAAGAGGUGGCCUAAUAACAGAUUCGAAGCCCAUAGCCCAUCUUGAUCUUAUAACUGGCCCAUAUACCAUUAUAGGAGGCCCAACAAUGGCAAGCAGAUUACAUGCCGUGCUAGUCGGUAUUCAGUAGCAACCACCUGUUGUCGUUAGCAAUUCUCAAGAACCCAAGAAAUCAUAAAGAGACAAAAAGAAGUCACAGUUCUUAGGGUUUAUUAAAGGGUUUUGAGCUUCACUGAAAGAACUCCACGAUUUCAGUAUAAUACAUUUUCUGCUACAAGAUUCGGUUACAAGAUGGCUGGAUUCAGUAGCCUUGCACCUAAGACCAAGAAUCUGGUAGUUGCUGGAGGCUUGUCAGCAUUUGUUUUUGGGGUUUAUUUCUACACCAUGAGAGCUGUUGGAGGGACAGACGAACUUCAGACUGCUAUUGAUAAGUUUGAACAGCAGAAAAGCAAGGAAGAGUCUGAGGCAACCAUCCCAUCUAAGGCUUGACCAUAUGAUGCUUGGUGUAAUAAUGUGAUCAGAAACAAGAGAGUGGUUAAUUUGUGAAUGUGCUGUUUCUACUUUCGAUUUUGCACUUUUACUGUACUUGAUAGGCAUUAGAGUCUGAGGCAACCAUCCCAUCUAAGGGUUGACCAUAUGAUCCUUGGUGUAAUAAUGUGAUCAGAACCAGGAGAAUGGUUAAUUUGUGAAUGUGUUGUUUCUACUUUU